AUUGAACGCUGGCGGCAGGCUUAACACAUGCAAGUCGAACGAGUGGCGGACGGGUGAGUAAUGCUUGGGAAUCUGGCUGAUGGAGGGGGAUAACUACUGGAAACGGUAGCUAAUACCGCAUACCAUCGGAUGUGCCCAAGGGGGAUUAGGUAGUUGGUGGGGUAAAGGCUCACCAAGCCGACGAUCCCUAGCUGGUCUGAGAGGAUGACCAGCCACACUGGGACGGAGACACGGCCCAGACUCCUACGGGAGGCAGCAGUGGGGAAUAUUGCGCAAUGGGGGCAACCCUGAUGCAGCCAUGCCGCGUGUAUGAAGAAGGCCUUCGGGUUGUAAAGUACUUUCAGCGGGGAGGCGUUACCCGCAGAAGAAGCACCGGCUAACUCCGUGCCAGCAGCCGCGGUAAUUC
rnacentral:rRNA from 1 species